CGAGCGGCGGACGGGUGAGUAACGCGUAGGAAUCUGCCCAAUAGUGGGGGAUAGCCCGGGGAAACUCGGAUUAAUACCGUAUACCUCCUUCGGGAGAUAGAAGGCCUCUCUUUGAAGCUUUCGCUACUAGAUGAGCCUGCGUAAGAUUAGCUUGUUGGUGGGGUAAUGGCCUACCAAGGCGAUGAUCUGUAGCUGGUCUGAGAGGAUGAUCAGCCACACUGGAACUGAGACACGGUCCAGACUCC
rnacentral:rRNA from 1 species